AUACGGAGGGUCCGAGCGUUAUCCGGAAUCAUUGGGUUUAAAGGGUCCGUAGGCGGGAAUCUAAGUCAGUGGUGAAAUCUUGCAGCUCAACUGUAAAAUUGCCAUUGAUACUGGAUUUCUUGAAUUAGUGUGAAGUGGUUAGAAUGUGUAGUGUAGCGGUGAAAUGCAUAGAUAUUACACAGAAUACCAAUUGCGAAGGCAGAUCACUAACACUAUAUUGACGCUGAGGGACGAAAGCGUGGGGAGCGAACAGAAUUAGAAACCCCAGUAGUCC
rnacentral:rRNA from 1 species